rnacentral:rRNA from 1 species
UAGCAUAAUAAAUUGUUUUUUAAUUGAAAACUGGAAUGAAAGGUUAAACAAUUUUUAAGUUUAUAUAUUUUAAUUUAUGAAUUUUUAUUAUAAGUAAAAAUACUUAUAUUAUAUAAAGGGACGAUAAGACCCUAGAAGCUUUAGUUUAUUUAAUUGCAAAAUAGUUUUAUUUAAAAUUUGUUUGAUGUGAAACUUUGAUUGGGGAAAUAAUAAUUUUAUAAAUAAUUAUUAAUAAAAUAUAUAAGUUUUUUAAUGAUCUUUAAUAUAAGAAUGAAUAGGAUUAGUUACUCUAGGGAUAACAGCGUGAUAAUUUUGGAUAGACCUUAUAUAUAAAAUUGAUUACGACCUCGAUGUUGAAUUAAAAUAUCUUUAUAAAGUAGAAAUUAUGGAAGAAG